UUAAAAUCUUGAAAGGAAGAAAAGGCAGAAUUUUCGCAUAAAAAAACAGAAAGUGAAUCGACGAGGAAGCAGGGGGGGAGUGGAGAGAAGAAGCCGCCGCGUGAUGACAACCGUUAAGUGAUUGGUGACUAUGUGUGAUGUGGCCUCAUCAUAGCUCUUUGAUUCAUCCAAAACCAAAAUUCCCCAUUUGCCAUUUGUCUGACUGAGUCUUCUCUUCUCUUCUCUUCUCUUCCUCUCAUUCUCAUCUGAUUCUGAAUCUAGCAAGGAGCACAAGGUACCUCUCGUCGUUUCCCUCUCCCAAUCGCCAGUGAUUUGAGAGUGUCAUGAAAUUUGACUAGCGGGAAUGCAUGUGCUUGAGUGAAAGGCUUCAUUGCUUAUUUGAUUGAGAUAUUGAGAUUACGAUGGCCUCAGCUGUCUUGAAUUUCAUGAACACUACAAUAGAUUGGGUGAAAUUUGCUUUAGAUGCACCUUCUGCGCGAGCUGUAGUUUUUGGAGUCCAUAUCGGUGGACAUUUAUUUAUCGAAGUUUUUCUCCUGGUGGUCAUACUUUUCUUGCUUUCCCAGAAAAGUUACAAGCCUCCUAAAAGGCCCUUAACAAACAAGG